AUGGUACCCUUCUCUUUGCUUUCAGACCACUCAUCCUCUGCAGAGUUGUGGUCAGCUGGUCUGCAUGGCUUCCCCAGGUCCAGCAUAGCAAGGUGGCCCAGACUCAGGCUGGGGAAGCAGCUGGAGGCUGGACAGGCCAGGAGAGUUUAUCCGACAGUGACCCUGAGAUGUGGGGGCUCCUUUGGAGGGAGAAGGACAGACGGUGUCCUCGGCCUGGAGCUCAUCGACUCAGAGAACUUCUGCAGCAGAGCUGCGCUGGAGGCUUUGGGGUCCUGUCUCAACCACAAGUACCCGGAGGGUGACCGAGGCAAGAGAUACUGCGGAGGAGUGGAAGUGGUGGACGAGAUGGAGCUGCUCUGCCAGCGAAGCUUUUGACCUGCAUCCCACAGAGUGGGGGAGUCAAUGUCUAGCCAUACUCAGGGUUCCCAGCCAAUCUGGCUGCCUAUACGGCCCUUCUGCAGCCUCAUGAUGGAAUCAUGGGAUUGGACCUGCCCGAUGGGGGCCAUCUCACCCACGGCUACAUGUUUGAUGUCAAGAGGAUCUCUGCCACAUCCAUUUUCUUCGAGUCUAUGCCCUAUAAACUGGUCUCAUCGACUACGACCAGCUGGCACUGACCGCUCGGCUUUUCUGGCCGAGGCUCAUCAUAGCUGGCACGAGAGCCUAUGCUCGCCUCAUUAACUAUGCAUGCAUGAGAGAGGUCUGUGAUGAGGUCAGGGCACACCUGCUGGCAGACAUGGCCCACAGCAGUGGCCUAGUGGCCGCCAAGGUGAUACCCUCACCUUCCAAGUACGUUGUCACCACCACCACUCACAAGAUGCUUCAAGGGGCCAGGUCAGGGCUCAUCUUUUACCGGAAGGGAGUACGGACUGUAGACCCCAAGACUGGCCAGGAAAUCCCUUAUGCUUUUGAGGACCGAAUCAACUUCACUGUGUUCCCAUCCCGAUAGGGUGGCCCCACAACCACGCCAUUGCUGCAGUAGCCGUGGCUCUCAAGAAGGCCUGCACCCCUAUGUUCUGGGAGUCCUCCUUACAAGUGUUGAGGAACGCCCAGGCCAUGGCUGAUGCCCUGCUCAAGCGAGGAUACUCGCUGGUGUCUGGUGGCACUGACACCCACCUGGUACUGGUGGACCUGCGGCCCAAGGUCCUGGAUGGAGCCCGAGCCGAGUGUGUGUUGGCUCACUACUCCGGGAGACUUGAGGCUUGGUGAGAGCUUGGGAUCUGUGGAGGGAAGGGUCCCCACACUGGUUGUCUGUAUCUUGGCUAUGCUAAUUGUCGUCUUCUCUCUCUCCCAGCCCUCCCCUCCCCCCAUCGACUUCUCACCAGUUCCAUGAGAAUGACUUCCGUAGAGUUGUUGAUUUUAUCGAUGAGGGAGUCAACCUUGGCUUGGAGGUGAAGCAUAAGACUGCCAAGGUCCAGGAUUUCAAAUCCUUCCUGCUCAAGGACCCAGAAACAAGCCAGCGUUUGGCCAACCUCCCACAACAGGUGGAACAGUUUGCCAGGAGCUUCCAGUGCUUGGAUUUGAUGAACGUUGA
rnacentral:lncRNA from 1 species